GAAAAAUGGGGAUAAUACCUACCUCACAAGGCCAUUGUGAAAAUGAGUGUAUGGACUUUUGGUGAUAGUUCAUUUGAAUUGCUUCUUCCUAGCCGUGGGAGCUUCAUACACAUUCCUCUGUGUUUUGUACUUUGAGGAACAUUGAAUCUGAAGUGUGAAUCCAUGCUAGGCAAUGAUGGCUGCAUUUGGAUGUCAUAAAAAAACAACAACAGGAAUAGACCCAGCCUUUUUCAGGACUGAUGCAGUAUGUGCUCAUCUUGCCUCUUCUGGUGUGGCCAAAGGAAGAGUUUAGAAGCAAUCACUUCAGAUUUCAAUUAACCACAGUUUAGUGUUACAUCCAAACCCUAAACUUUGGCUAAUGUUAACUAUGUUUUGUUGAAACAAGCCAGCUUCAUAAUCUAUGGGUUGAAGUUGGCUUGUUUUCAACAAACCAUACCUGUCAGUAGCCACAGUUUUACAGUUGUGUAAAGCACAACAAGCUUUGGUUAAUCAAAAACAGAAGUGAAAACUUCCAAAUUCCUUGUUGCUGGAUUGCAGGAAGCAACAGAACCCAGCUAGGCUCUCAUUGCUUUCAGUUUAUCAUGACAUCCAACCUCUAAAUAUCUUCAUUCCUAUUGCAACCACUCAGUGUGCAUUGACUUCUUCUGAAGGUUCUUGUUCUCAGAAAACUAUCCCUUUAAUGGAUGGAGCUCAGGAAUGUUUUCUAUUUACCCAUUUCUAAUUGAAAUGCUACCCUGAUUUAUCUGUUUGUGUGAGGAUCAUACAAAAGUUAGAUAGUUAGCUCAGCAAAUUAGUUAUGAGCCUAUGUAACAGAGACAAAUAUUUAAAGCAGAGAAGGUAGAUGAGACAGAUAAUGACUGCUAAUCCAGUAACUGCUAAUCCAUAGUUUAAUGCAAGUGGGAGGAGGAGUUCAAUAGCUUAUGCUUGCAUUUCUGCUUAACCGCAGCUUGUCAUGCCAUCUGAACCAACAAACUGUCGUUCAUGUGAACUAUGGUUUAAUUAAAACAGACUAACUUCAAAUGGUGUUUCAACAAGCCGUAGUUGACAUUAACCAUGGUUUAGGGUUUAGAUGAAAUACUAAAAUUGAAGUUAAUGGGGAUAGGAAGCAAAGACUUCUAGACAUCUCUUGCAGUUAGUUCAGAAGCCUGAGGCUCCAAGUACAAUCACAUCACACUAAACUAUGGUUUAGCAUGGCUUUUGAAUACUGUCAGUUAAUCAAAGUUUGGAUAAUGAGGCUUCUACUGUACAAUGUCUCCUUAUAAAGCUAUUUCCAUUUACAUCAGAAGAGGGGUUUUUUCAUAUAAAAAAUCUGAAAUAAUUCUUAAAAUCCAUACCAUUUGAAAAGAUUCUCUGAUAAUAACCUGGGUAUCAGAACAACACUGAACUAGUACUGCUAAAACUUGAAAAGAGGUUUAUUGACCCUUACUCUUGUAGAACUGUCAAAAAGCCUAAGCAUUGAAACCACCAGGCAUUUUGUAUUACUUUGCUGAAUCAUGAACAAGUGAUUGCAAAAUCCUAUUUUUUACAUGUAAGUGUUUGUAUAAGGAUUGUUAUUUCCUGUUGUAUAUUUGUAUAUAGAGGUCUAUCUUUUAUAUGUCCACAGUAUAUAUAUAUGUUCUCAUUCCAUCAUCACCAUUAUUAAGUGCCACCUUCCUGCACUGGGGAUUUUGUGCACAUCAUGCUGUUGUGUGAUUUUACACCUGGGUAGUUGUCUUCUGCCUUCGCAGCAUACUAAAGACGAGCUCUCAUUUCUCCCCAGGUAGAUUCUCACUCAGCUCUAAUAAAUUACCUCAAGCCCUUGCUUUAUUUGUGGGCUUGUAACUACCUCACGGUAAACACAACGAGUUUCUCUUGGUUCAGCAGUCAAGGGUUAGAACAGAAUGUGUGCACAAACCUUGUCAGGAAAACAUCAUUCACCAGCAGUGCUCUUGAGUACUCCACAACUUCCUUGCCGCUACUGAUAUUAGUCUCAUUGCUUUUUAUUCCUCCUGUGACUGUGCCCUUGCUUGCCAAUUGUUAGAAAUGUCUUCUACCUUUAUUCAUUGUACUUUGCUUUUUAUUCUUUAUACAGUUCAGCAUAUACAGGCAGAGCAGGAUGAGGAUGUUAGGAAACUGUGAGUAAAUGCACCAUAUAAACAUAUAUUCCAUUUUAUACUAGUUUGGGGAUAUGGCUUCCCCUUCAGAAUUACAGUUUGUUGAGGGUGCUAAGAAUACUCUGCUAACCAUCCUAUCCAUGUCCACAGUUUGGGAUAACAGGAUGACUGUUAUACCACUUUUAAGUCUAAGGUAGAUACUCCUUGAAAUUAGUUUAAUGUAUCAAGACAAGUGGCUUCUCAACAUACUAGUUGGGCAUUUUAGUAAAACAGAAGAGCAAUCAAUUAGUACCCCUUUUUUAAAAGUGCAGCUUUUUCUUGAACCAUCCAUCAAUUGUGCUGUACAAAGUGCUUUGCUAUCACUAGUCUCAUAGCCUAGCAUUUGGGUCAGAUAGCAAUCGUCAUAGAAUUCAGCAGGGCCCAUGUGUGACCUGUGGAUUGUGGGUCUUUACAGUUGGUCAGUGUCCUCAAGGGGUUCAGUAAUAUGCCCUAACCAAAUUCUAAGGAACAUCAAAGGUCAUGUCCCCUCAUGUCACCACCACAUUUAAUUGUCAUAAUUAUUUUAUACUGUAUUUUUGUUCCUUUAUCAUGAUUUGAAUGUACAUUUACCCAGUCAGUGAGAGGAUACUUGAAGAUAGACAGAGAACAUGUUCUUAUUUGCCUGUUUCUCUGACUUUAACCAUUUCAAGAUUGCCAUUUGAGCUUAGAUUUGGGAAGAGCAUUAGGAUGUCUUCACCAUUACUUGUAAUGCUGAGACAAACAAUGACUUAACAUGAACAAGUGUCAGGAUACACAGAGAGAAAAUCAUGACUGCUUUAUUCCUCUCCCAGGCCUGCUGUACUACCUGGAACUAAUGGUUUGACAUAGCAUUACAUAUGAAUCUAGUCUUGUGGUUGGUCUCACUGCAGCUAAGGUUUGUUCUUGACUUACCACUCAUAGUUUACUUGGGGGAGACAAACCACAAGGCUGGGUACACAUGUAACAUUCAGCCAAACCAUAGCUUAGCAUCAGGUAGCAUAGCAUCAGUAGGACAAGGGGAGAAGGCUGCCACUUUUGCUAUGUUCACACAUGCAUUUACUUGUUCAUGCUUAGCUGUGGUUUGGCUUAAUGUUAUGUGCAAACCAGGCCAGAAAUACUUGUUAGGUCUGAUAUUUCUACCCAUGAAUUUGUUCCUCCUAUAGUUUCUAAUUUACAAGAAGCCAAAGCACCUGUAAUCUAAAGUGUCCAUAAUCAUAUUAACAGCGAGCAACAUAAUCCAAGCUCCAUUGAUUAAAGCAGAAUUGAUUUCCAAGUAAGCUUUUGGAAUGAAGAUGGGCUCAAAUAAGCCUCAAUGCCCUGAAGCAUCAGCUCCAGCCUUCCCAUGUUGAGUAAAAGUGCUCUGCUCUGAUUAACAUGGGAUCUUGGCUCCUUUUAAUCUAAACUCAUAUGCCAUCUGCUUCAUACACAAAUGAGGCCAAUAUCUCCCACUUUUCUUCAGGAUACAUUUGCAGGAAAUGGCAAUGCUGCCCAGGGAAGGAUAGCUGCGUGAUUAACAUGAAAUGGAGUCAACCAGUCACCUUGAAAAACAUGUAUAUGCAACCAUACUGCAAUUACCACUCCAGGUACUGUUUCCUAUUUAUUUAGCACUGUGCUGGGGAAAGUGAACCAACUCUAGGGCAAAUUGGACAGAGAUGAAAGGAGUUUUAAGGCCAUGAAGACCUAUCAAGGCUGAGACAGGAAGUAAACAGUCUAGCUAUUUAUUCAUCAAGGCAUUCUGUAUGGCGUUCAGAAGUCACUUUAGCUUUGUAUCCUUCAAGAAAUGAAAGAUCAGAAAAAGCCGGAGCUGUUGAAAAUGCAACACUUCCAGCUCUGAAGCAAAUAAGUGGGGGAUUGGACCUUUAUAAAAGUCGAUAUCUGUUGUGUGUAGCAAUGUUGAAGGACACCUUUUACUUGAUUUGUGGGGAGACAGACAUGAAAAUUUAUCCAGUGCUAUAAGCUUGAGAACACUCAACCAGAACCUUGUUUUUAGCAUCAAUAGCAUUCUGUUUAUGAGGUACUACCAGAAAGUAUUUUUGAUGGGGGGGGCUGGUUUUAUAAAGCUCCUUUGAUAUUUAUCUUCUUAGGGAUAUACACAUUUAUAAUUCAUGGAAGGGUUCCCCCUCCCCCCAUCUUUAAAGGCCAUUUCUCUUUGAUGAGCACCAUCUCCUCACAUUACUUGCUUUCUAGCCUUCCUGCAUAUAUUCAGGCCACAAUCAAACACAAGUUGAAAUAAAUAGGCUUAAGUUUGCUGAGUUCUCUACUGGAUUGUGGCCCAAGUAAAUAAAGUAUCAGUGGGAUUCUGAACACACUUACUUAGGAGCAGCAGUGCAAUCCUAUGCAGUCCCUAGUAAGUGUGUUUAGGAUUGCAACCCCAUUCCCAUUGAAUUCAGCAGAAUUUAUUUUUGAGUAGACAUGGAAAUGAUUGCAACUGCAUAUUGACUAGGGAUGGGGAAGCUGUAGCCCCCCAGAUGUUGUACUACAGCUCCCAUCAUCCUUUACCAUUGGCUGUGCUGUCAAGGGCUGAUAAGAAUUGGGAAUCCAACAACCAUUGGAGCGCUACAGUUUCCCCUUCCCUGACAUAGAUACUACUGUAAUAAACCAUUUCUUCCCUGUAUACUAUUGCAGUACUUUUUGAAUCACUUUUUCUUGAACAACCAGGGAAGCCUUCACAUGAUAAUAUUCUUAUAAGCAGUGCUAUUUUUCUAGAAACAGAGGUGCCGGAACUCACCAUGAAUGCCUCCCUUGUAUAUAACUGCAAUGGCGCCACCUGAGAGCUGCCAAAACUGAGUUCUGGUGAGUUCCAGUUGGGGGGAAAGCCCUGAUUGUAGGCCUUCUGCAGACUGAGUUGGAAUGACAAGAAUGCAGCAGGAGUCAAAAUAAUGCUAAUUCUCAAGCCUUUCUGAUCAGUCCAUUUCAAAAUGGACUAUUUAUAUAUAUGUAUAUAAAGUUUCCUAUUUGAUUCCUGUAGUGUUCAGGCAUUCAAAAAAAUUUCUGGCCCAAGUUAGGGAUGCAGGUACUGGUAAGGGCUGCCCCCCCCCAAAAAAAAACCCUUAAGGCGAUCACAAAGUGCCCGCUAGCACCAUCUCUUCUUCCUCACCCUACCCCAAACCUCAAAAACUUACCUUUAGGGCAAGAGGAUGUUAAGGUGGUGCAGACAGUGGUGGGCACCCCAAGGGCACAGUUGAGUAUCUUUGCCUGCCAAGAGUUGGUGUGGGACUUCAAGUUGCAGAAUCCUCAGUGAGGAAAUGAUGCUAUUUGCAUCAUUUCUACUAAGGAAAAGGAAACAACAUGAAUAGAAUGAUUUCCCUAUGUCCCUUAGGAUUCUGGGACUAGUACUCCAUUCCUAGUGGGGGGGAAUGCUUUGGCAGGUUUCUGGGAGUGCCUGUCACCUCUUGAAAUGAGGGGAUUUCUUCACACACCCCUUAGUGUCAAGGACUUGAUAAUUUGAGGAUUUGCCCUGGAGUCACACAACCUAGGCAGUUCAACAGGCCUUUAGUUUUCCCAUCUAGCAGAGGGUCUUGGAGGCAGCUCUGAAUAAAGCUCUUUCUGUUAAACUAUUCCUCAUUCUUGGUGCCUUUUCUCGGAUCCAGAACCAUUACACCUCUACUGCUUUAUCCUUCCCUUGUCCCAAAGGGAAGUUCUUCAGCUUCAGAGCAGAGUAAAAUGGCUGAUUUAGGGACCGAGGUAGCUCACAAGAGCAAUACUUGGAAUGCUCACAAACACUUAGAGUUGGGGUUGCAGUAUGCUUGUGGCAAACAGGUCAUAAUGGUUCCAGCACAGGUCUUCAUCAAAAGAAGGUGUGUCUGUGAUAUAUUUACAUAGUCAUAAAACAAAGACAUUCACAUGAAUAGGAGAAGAGUUGAUCAUUAACAUGGGGGUGGGCUACAUGGGGUCAGGCAUAACCAAGGAGACAAGGUGGAUUUUAUUGGUUUGCUUUAGUGACAUUGGCUGCAGUCCUGUGCACACAUAUGGGAGUAAGUGCCAUUGAACUGAGAGGGCCUUACUUCUGAGUAGACAUGUUUAGGACCUUUAGCCACACUACAUGAUAGGUAUUUCCCACUCAUUAGAUUCCAGGGUUCAUUGCUCCCCCCCGCCCCCCGCAUAUUUUUGCUUGCUAGCAAUUAUGUGUUUGUUUGUAUAUAUUAUAUAUGCAAUCCAGUGUGUUUUUUUCUUUUAAAAAAAACAGUGCUAAUGUGCAUUGCUAACAGAAAUUAUUUACAAGUCUCAAUUAUGUUCCUACAUGUCUUUGAAGUUUGCUUGUGCUGACAGAUGUGAGCGUUACAGAUUCCCCUCUAGAGUUUAGAGUCACUCUUACCGUCGGCAUUUUAAAAUGUACUUUUGCCAUUUUGCCAUUUCUCUGUUUUCUUACUGUAAGUUAUUUUGUCUUUCAUUUUCCAUUUUGAAUUCUUAUGUAUUUGGGGGAGGGAGUAUUUCAGGGGGAAAUGUGCCUGGGGAUAUUUUAAAGCUUAAACAAUAAAUGUAUACAGGGUUUUUUCCCCUUC
rnacentral:lncRNA from 1 species